rnacentral:tRNA from 1 species
GGGUGUAACUCAGUGGUAGAGUGUCAGCUUCCCAUGCUGAUGGUCGCGGGUUCGAAUCCCGUCGCCC